GACGGGACCCCGCACAAGCGGUGGAUCAUGUUGUUUAAUUCGAUGAUACGCGAAGAACCUUACCAGGUCUUGACAUCCCUUGCAAAGCUAUGGAGACAUAGUGGAGGUUAUCAAGGAGACAGGUGGUGCAUGGUUGUCGUCAGCUCGUGUCGUGAGAUGCUGGGUUAAGUCCCGCAACGAGCGCAACCCUUAUUGCUAGUUACCAUCAUUAAGUUGGGGACUCUAGCGAGACUGCCAGUGAUAAACUGGAGGAAGGUGGGGAUGACGUCAAAUCAUCAUGCCCCUUAUGACCUGGGCUACAAACGUGCUACAAUGGGCGGUACAAAGGGUCGCGAACCCGCGAGGGGGAGCCAAUCCCAAAAAGCCGCUCUCAGUUCGGAUUGCAGGCUGCAACUCGCCUGCAUGAAGCCGGAAUCGCUAGUAAUCGCGGAUCAGCAUGCCGCGGUGAAUACGUUCCCGGGCCUU
rnacentral:rRNA from 1 species